UUCCACCUUCCAGAUCUCUUACAAGUAUAUGUAAUUGUUGGAGCCCAGUGUAUAUCUAGAACCCUAGCUGUGGGAUAAUUUGGGAAAUGCCACAUUUAGCUUUCUUGUUUCUUUAAUACAAGAGGCACUAGAAGGAAAGAAGGUAGGAUGGAUGUGGAGCAAAGCAGUGCACCAUAUCCAAUAUUAGGGCCUAACCUCUCUUCCCCUAAGAAAAUGUAAUGGAGAUAUUUUUGGUAUAUUUGGUAUAAUACUGUUAUUUUAAUGAUUUUCAGAGUCAGAAGUUGGACUUUUUUUAAUGUCAGGACUUACUCAGAGUUAUAUGCUGCAUUAAAAUUAAAAUUAAAAAUUUUAAAUCAAGCAAAGUGCUUUAAAUUAUUGGAAAGUGUUCCAAUCACAUUCUUUCCCUGUUUAAAACACUUUUGAAAUAUCUUCUUUUAAUAUCAAUUUCCUAGAUUGUUAGUUAAUUUUACUAUCUUUUCUUCUAAUUUUGGUCUUUUGUAUUCUCCUUCUAAGAUCGCUGUUAAGUCCUCCUAGUCUCGGAGGACUAGGGGUGCACUGAAGGGUAGUGUAGUAGAGGAAUUAAGAAAGGGGCGGCAAGAGUGAGGUUCGCAGGCCCAAUUCCCAGUCCUUGCCCUAGAAUUUGACCUUCAUUUCAUCAGGGCUGGAUUCCCUAUAUACCUUCAAAAUCGCAUUAUCUUGGAGCCUGACUAGGCUGAACAGCAACAGGACAAAGUUUAGAAAAUGAAGGACACCAUAUCUAACAUGGAUAUUAAGCAAAAUAAAUACUGAAGUACUGUCAUUUUACUGCUAUUGUAAUCUCUAAUUAAGAUAUUUGAGUAAGAAUUCUCUAGUCACCUGAGUCAGGUGAUAAAGUUCUGAUAUUGCUCCUUCAUAGCUUCAGAUUUUUUUCAUUAUAAAUUAAUUGCAGAAGCUUCGAGUCAUUCAUCCUAUCUUGAAUCCUGCUCCCUCUGGAGGGAAGAGUACCUGAAAAUAAGAACUUUUUAUCUGAAGGACUAAUAUUUCUACCUCUUUGCUUUAUCUAUAGUGCGUCUAAACUGUUUCUUUGUAACUUCAUUACAGAGACAAUGUUCUUCAUUAUAGAGACAAUGUUGUCCUCAAGGGAAUGUUUACUCUUUCAAAUCUCUGUUUUUGGUAACAUUUUCUGUAGUUGAAUUCUUUGGUGUUUGCUGAUGUUCGUUAUCUUUUCUUUUAUCUCUAAGUGGGAAAGCUAAUUUUUGCCCCUCUUUUCUUGAUCUCUUUGCUCCCCUUCGUCCUUCUCAGUAAAUUAUGAAAUGUUAACCCUUUGUUGGCAAUGUGAUCAGGUUUAGCUCUCCGCCCCCCAGCACUACAUCAACCAAAUGAAUUUGACCUUCAUUUCUGACACAAUCUCCCACAUUAAGUUGUUUUGGUUUUUAAAUCCUCUCUCGCUUGAUUCUCCUUUUUUAUAUUAUACAUCCCUAAAGAAUAUUAAAGCAUUUUUAUAAGUAUCAUUUGUAGAUUCUUUUCUAUUUGCAUUAUUGAUUUGACUAAUGGAAGGAAACUUUUUGUCUGCGAGUGUAUACAUUGACAGUAGUUGCUAUUUUGAUAAUGGAGCUUGCUGUCUGGAAUAAUUAUACAUAUAAAAUUUAAGGUAUUGUAUCAUUUUAUUUUUCCUUAAAAUGUGUCUUCAAUUUCCUAUAGUAUAUGAAGCUCUACAAUUGUACUAUAUAAAAUAAUCUUCUGAAUAGUAAUUGAGAUUGGAAGCAUAGCAAAAUUUAUGAUUUUAUCACUAUCUGUAAUAGAACAUUUAUUAAUGGAGUUAUUAAAUCUUAACCAUGUUGACAUGAAAGAUUGAGCAUUAAGACCAAGCUAGAUUAUCACCAGAUAUGCAGGCACAAACAUGAAUUAUCUAAAUUCUUCUUGGGGAACAGGUUUUGCUUUUUAGUCUGGGUCAUGUUGUUUCUUCCAUUUUGGCUUCUUCAUAUAACCUCAGAGUUCCAGUAUAAAUUUUAACAUUUUUAAAAAAUAUAUAAACAUUCCAAAAGGUAGUAAGUAGGUCUCUCAUUUCUGUAUUUUGAAAGCACUUAAUAAAAGGCAGGUUUCUUUGUCUCAAACUAUUAUACACAGUGCUUAAAUUAUUUUUUAUGAUUAUCUUGGUAUCUUAUAUAGUUAAAAACUUUCAUUUCUUAAAAGCCUUGUGGAAAUGGGACUAGACCAUUAGUCAAGAAUGACAUUAAUUAGCGAUGAUAUCUUGAAUGAAUGAUUUCAUUUCUUUAAAGCUUGCUUCCCAUUUCUUAUAUGAAAGAGUUGUAUCUUUUAGUGUUAAAUUAUUUUCAAAUCCAGUAAGUUGAGGGAAAGUUAGCCCUUAGAGGCUUUCAUUAAUUAAGAAAUACAGGAAGAAAUUCUGCUCAUUUCCAGUCUGUUUUUAGAUUGGAAACCCUGACUCAAUUUUAAUUUUCCUGGUUCUGUACCAGGUGUUCACUGCAUUCCCAGAAGUGAAUCAUACCUUAAGGAUUUAGAAGAAAAGGCCUCAAACUCAGUGUACUCCAUAGUGGCAUAGUGUCAGACACUGUAUUGACUUCAUUGCCUAUGGAUUUUUAGAGUAUUGUUUAUAUAUCUAUUGAGACUUAUUGUUAUUCUCACUGUGGCAGAUCAAAAUGCCCAUCAUAUAUAUUAUUUAAAUAAUAUUUAAAAUAAUAUAUUUGAGGACAUGAUUUAUUUUAAAAUCCACAUAGUAAUUGUUUUAGCUGACAGUCUGGCCACCCAUAUCUUAUUUUGGGGAUUUUGCUAAUUAAUCCAUAACCAUUAAUCCCAUAUGUCUUUAACACCUUUAUUAAAGUGGAUUUUCUACUUCAGUAUAUUUUCUGUCUUGCCUUGUCUUUUUUGUUUUACUUUUCCUUACAGAGUCUUCCUUUUUAAUGACAGGGAAUAGUAAAUCAUUUUGAGAGAAAGAUCUCUCUUUUAUUUCUUAAUGGAACCACAAAUUCUGUCUCCAUUUUUAUUAGUAUUAUUAUUUUUUAUUUGGGAUAAGGAAGAAAGAAAAUGAGAUUGAAUGUGAUCUAGUAGUAUCCAAACCUCAUUCUAAUGUUUAUUGCUUGUUCUUCAACACCCCACAUUUUGCCAGUGUGUCUGACAUACCUCUAUUUUUUUUUUCCUAAAGCAGUUUAAAAUGAUAGUUUUAAUUCCUCCCUUCUGCUCUGCAUUCAGUAGGUGCCCAAUAUAUGCUAGUUGAUUAACCAGGUAUUGAGUAAUAUUAAGGGUAGGGAGAGCUCAGUCCACCAUUGCUGUCUUCUCUUCCCUUAGUUAACACCAAGUCACUGUUGCUCUUUAUUUUUAAUCAUUUGAGUGUGUAAGUUGCGUAAGUCAGUUUUCUCUCAUUGCAUCUCUUCAUCUUUCCUUUGAUGGCUGUAUUUUGUUUUGGGCUAAUUUUAUUGUACUUAAGUAUAUUUGUACUGUAUAGAAAAAUUUUAAGUUACUCUUUUAAAAACUUUCUGUUGUUUAUAACAUUUCGCAUAAAAUUCAUUGGAUGAGAUGCAUUUCUGUCGGAAAAUAUUAGAAGCCUACAGCCAGGAAAAUUUAUGGGUUAUGUCUCUUACCAGCUGCUGGUUGAAAAAAACUUUUAAAUAAACACAAAUAUUAAGUAAUAUCUUCUAAAGGCAUUUAAAAACCCCCACUCUCCUGAUUACUUCUUCUGCAGUUGCCAAGUAAUACUGAGUGGCACUGAAGAAAUUAUGUUCAGAUUUUUUCAAAGAGCUGCUUCUGAUAGGAAAAUGCUUAGUAAUGAUGAAGACACGCCUUCCAGUUCAGUGGCCAUUUUGUAAAGUAGUGCUGGAGAAACAAGUGGGAACCAUCAAAGAAAGAAGUGUACAGAUCAAAAGAAUAUGAGCAAGAGGCAGUAAAUUUUUCAUCUAGGUCAAUUGGAGAAAUUAGAACUAUGCUGUCUAGAACAUCAUGAGUUUUGUUUUACUACCUGAACAAGUUUAAGAACUCCACAGCAUUCUUAUUUUGUACUUAAGGAUACUGAGACCAAGAGAAGAUUUUCCUGAAAUAUAGCAACCUAUAAAGUAUCAUCAGACCACUCAGUAUUUUCCUUGGUAGUUUAGAAAGCUAGGUAUACCAUGGUCUUAUCAGAAGUACCGUAGAAUGGAACCUUUUAGCAAGGACCUCACCUCUUUUGUUUGGUUUUCUCCCUGUGCCUAGAUAUUGCCUGGCACGUAGAGGAUGUUCAGUUAGUAUUUAUUAUUGAAUGGAUCACCUAAUUCUUCCAUGCUUGUCCUAUUCUUCCCUCUGUGGGCUAGAACCUGAAAGGUAAUAACUUGUUCUAUCUGUAAGGAUUUGAAGCAGUUUAGAAGAGAGAACCUAAUAAUAAAAGUAUUUUACCCAAUACUUCCAUUUCUAUGCUAAUUAAUCUUCCUUCUUAAAUGCAAACCAUCGAUAAAGGUAUUGGCACGUCUACAGAAUGUACCAUAAAUCACGCAGAAAAUAAAUAGUGCAUUGAUUGAGUGGUUCAGACUUUGUAUAAUCCAUUAAUGUAGGAUCUGAUAUCUUUAAUGGGAGUGAGGUAUGAAAUGCAGGUAGUCUAGAAUUUAAAUGAGUCAUUUUCCUAAAUGUUUGUUCAGCAAAAAUGUUGGGGUUUCCUGUAUAUUUGUGUUUGUUUUUCUUACAAAAAUAUGUUUCAGCCAUCAGAACAGUCUUAGUACAACCAAAGACUCUUGGCUAUCUUUCAUUUAGCAAAAUUCUUUCUCGUGCUAUGAUGUGUGUUUUCUGUCAGCUAAAAUUUACAGGAAUUGUAAACCACAAGGAUUUCCUGAGGAGAAGCUCCCACAUGCUGUGUCUGAGGUUUCUCAUAUUUCUUUUGGCAGCAGUAACAUUCUCCAGUACUACAGAAUUAUAGUUUGAGUUCAGUGCUAAUAAUUUCUCUUCAGGAAAACAACUUAACUGAAACAUUUGUGGUUGUGUUUUGCUUGAACUAAGGGAAAAAGUUAUAACUGAGAAAAUUACCUAUCACCACAUACUCUGCCUUACCCUGCACAAAAAAAGUCCCUUUCUAAAGCUCCUAUCAACCAAUAUAAUAAUACUCACUAUAUGAAACAUAGAAAUUUCUUUGUAUUACUUUAUAAGCCUAAUAGCCCAAAACUUUCAAAUAUAAUGGUUAGAGCUAUUGCAAUAGGGAGUCUCACAUUGCUGUAAAAGAAAAAAGAAAAAUAAAUUAUUUUAUGUUGGA